AAAGUCCACACUUUUACCCUUGUACAAAGCCCCAAGCCCCUUUUACUUGCUUUUGGAGCCCUCACAGAGACCCUGUAGCUCAGAGGGGAUCUGAGUGUGGGUCAAACAGCAGAUAACAGCUGAGAAGGGUUUUAAGAAAAGGUUUCUGGCUGCUUCUUGGCUGUUUGCUUCCCGGCUGAGGAGGGAGCCCAUCUGUGCAAGCCUUCCUCCUUCAUUUCAGUGCUGGCAGCGAGCUGCAGUCUCUGCUUAGGAGCAGUGCCACGAGCUGUGCCUUCCAGGAACAGGAGAGGAUGCAGCGUGGCCGUGUGGGUGUGUGGUGCACCCUUUGGGCCCCAGACGCAGGGACAAGACAAGCACAAAAGGGAGAGUAGGAAAAUGGAAUAUGCACAACUGGUUUAAUGCCAUGGGUUGUACACGUUUCUGAUACCGGCGUUUGCACUCAUUACGUGAUGUGCUUUCUCUUUAAUGGAAUUCUCUUAGACGUGCUGCUGAUAGGCUCUCUUCCCAUCUCUCCUUGAAUUCAAACAUUAUGGCUGAUUGAAAAAUAAGCAUGCAUUUUUCUGCUUUUUUCUUCUUUCAGUGUUUUUUUUUGGUCAGGUGGAAACAAUGAGGUGAACUCAUUUGUGACAGGCCCUUCUUCAGGCCUCUCCAACGUGGUCUGUAACGAGGGCACAGUGGAAAUUCCACAAAGAAGCCCAGAAGCUUUUCAGUUUGGGCAACCGUGUUGUUGUCUGCGUUUUAUUCGCAUCAAUCAGGUUUUUUUCACACCCAUCUUAGCUUCUUAUUGGUACCACAAGUCAACGCUUGCUGGAAAACGCCACCCUUGGAAAACAACCUGUAACGUACGACUGCUGUCUCUUCGUGUAUUUUCUGCUCAGAUCUUAACAUGCGCUUCCUCUGAAGGCCACCAGCGAUAAUAUUCACUCCCUCUCCAGAACCACAAGUCUGAUUGUGGUGCCAUCCAUGUAACAGAAUGCUGUUGGUGUGUGCUGGUGUUCUCUGUUCAUGCACGUAAACCUGGGACUCCCAGGGAACUUAAGAAGCAUGAGCCUUGUUUGUGAAUCUCCAGAUGGGGGCAGACAUUGAGAUGCACGGCUAGAAUAUUAGGCUGGGAUUGAUUACCCCAGUUCAGCUGUCAGGGAGCAGAAAGAAUUAAACCAAAGUCUCCUGGAUCCCAGGAAAAUGGCAUUACCGAUACCUCAACAUUUGGAGCAUCACGUAAGUCCCUUGGGAAUAUUGUCCUUUGCAUUUAUUAAAAAGGCCAGUAAAAAAUAUUCAGUCUUGGUUCACUCUGAAAUAAUUAUUUUCAACGGUAUGCUGCACUGAAAAAUCCCUGGUUCUAACAACUUUGGUUCUGAUGAUGCUUGUUCAAGCAUUUAGAGAGCACAUAAACACUCAUUAAUGCCUAUUUCAUGUGUAAUAUAGUGACAGAUACAAGGCCCAUUAUUGACUGAGGCUCAGACACAAGGCUUAAAUUUCACUGUAGACACUUCACUUGGUGAAUGCAAUCUAUAAGAAAUUCCAUAUAACGCCUCAAAUGUUUGUUUCCAUUAUCUUCUCCAAUUA